GAGCCAAAACCAAGAGUCAGAUGCUUAGCUGACUGAGCCACCCAGGCACUCCUGUACACAUACUAGUUUUAAAAAAUUCCCUUUUCUACUUUUAUUUGUGGUAUGAUUUUCAUGUGUUUGUCCACAGGAGAGAUUGGAAGCCCACACUCUAGGAAAGUCACAAGAGGCUCUAGGAAAAGAACAGCGGUGGAAGGUAGGUGACAUUCAGUCUUUGGCGUCUGAGAACCCAUGUGGCUGCCUCAGUUACCUCCAUCCCUGCCUCCGUUCCUGGAGGGCCUGUUUGCAGAGCAACAGCAGACAUGUUUAUUUCACCGGUGCUUGCAAAUAGGACUGAUUGGAAACCACCUAUAUCCCCACAACUUAGAACUCGCUAAUGAUCCUCAGUUCAGCUGCAUAAUGGAAUACCAUGCAGUCGCUAAGAAUAAAUCAGAAAUCCUAUACUUUCUGCGUUUGGUGUUAGAUUCCACAGCGGAACAAACACCUCUUGCCGUAUGCAGUCUGGUUUCAUAGAUUGCACAGGCUCCUUGGUUGAUCUGAAUGUCAACCUGGGCUGGGGGCUGCUGUUCAGCGUUUAGGGUUCCUCUAAAGGGAAUGCAGAGAAGUCAAGUCAAAAUGUGCCAAAGAUGUUACCAACAAUCAUGUCUUGUUGUGAUACUUUGAGUAACUUAUAUUAUUUUUCAGUUUUUUCCUUCCGUUUCCAAUAUGCAAAUAUACUUCCUAAUUAAAAAAAAUAAACGUUUGUAAAGAAUCCUGUAGAUAAAGAACAAUAACAGAAAUCACUGCCCAGGAGGACUGGAAGGAAAUAAGACAAAAUGCUGCCUUUAGAUGUCUGGCCAGGAAGAAGAUUUACAUGUUCAUGAAAACAUCACAGGAGAAAUAAAUGUGAAAGAACAUCAGGGGAAGACGGACUCAUGUCUUGGAGUAAGAUCUUGCAACUUUGUCAUUUUGUAGUUUGUGUCUCUUGGUGGAGGAGAUUCCGUCCACAGCCAGUGGUGGUGACCCAACACUGCUGGGCCAUUCCUGGUUCCCUUGCUGUGAGUGUGACACAGGGUGCUGGUCCGCUCUGGCUGAAGGGAAGAGGGUCAAGAAUGGAGAGCAAGGGGAGGCAGAAGGGUGGGCCAGUGGGAUCCGGGAGAGCCCCAAGGAGCUGGGCAACCAAAGCCAAGAGGAGCACACCAACUGCCCAUGGGCUAAGGUCGGAAGUCUGGGGAAGCUGAGACAAAAAAAAAAAAACGGGGGUUCAGCAAGGGGCACACGGAUACUCAAAGCAGAGGGGAAAUUCUACUUAUGGACCUUCAUGGCAUUCCAAAAUUAGUUAACCCCUGGGAGAGCCUAAAUAUUGAUAGUUUUUCUCCCUGUCCCUCUGGCCAACUGUCUUUUUUAGGGGUCCCUAUUAGCCCCAUUAUAGUCAACCCACCUCAUUCCUUUCCAUUCUGUUCACCCCACUCUGUGUCAAGCAUUGCUUGGUGACACCAGAGGACUGUGUGUUGGGAUAAGGAAGAAACAAGGUAAACGUAUUACAUGACUAGUGCUGUCCUUCGGGCAGGGGCAACAUGGUAGCUGAUGGGCUGAGGCGGGCAGGAAAGGCUUCCAAAGGAGCAGGUACUGAGCUGGGUCCUCAAGGACACUGUGAGCAGCCUCCCAGCACAUCUGAGAGAGGAGGGCGAUUUCUGGAAAAUACAUAAGAGUGACGGAUGCCCCUGCCAUGCGCCUGGUGGAUGUCAGCUUCUGAAUUGCAGGUGUGUUCAGAGGAGAUCUGGGGCCAUGAGGCUACCACACAGGUGGAGUGGCCUCCAAAGGGCAUUGACUGACUUGCUGAGGGAUCUGUAAUGAGGGGGAGAGAUAGGCCUAAUUUGAACUUGGCAGUGGGUGUCCAUGUGAGACAAUAUGGAGAGGUACCUCUGUUAUCCUUGGUAUUGUGUCUUCAUUUGGGGGAGAAGAAAUUCUAAAUUUAUCAUUUAAUCAGAUGACUUUAGAAAAGUAGCUAUCUAGGUGCUGAGAAAAUUAGUUCAUUCAUUCAUACUUCAUUUAUUCAUUCAAAACAAUUCUUGUACCUCAGUUUAUAUUUCCUACUGCUUAAAUUUCUGUGGUGUCUACACAGAUUGUUAAGGCAUUGUUCUAAUCUCAAGAACCUUAAAAACAGAAGGAGGGGAAGGUGAGGACUAACCCCAUGGUGUUAACCCAUAAACUGAGCUGGUCACAUCACCACCUCACCACUACUUAAAAUGUCCCAGUGGGUUUCUAUUUCUCUCAGGAAAAGUACAAACUUUUAUCCAGGCCAAAACAUCCCUCUAUGGCCUCACCUCCUGAGACCCAUCUCUUAGCACCUCCCUUCUUUUCCCUCCAUGCCAGCCUCAUUGUCCUUCUUUAUGUGGUCCUUGCCAGACUGUCUUCAACCACAGGCCCUUGACACAUGUUGUUCUCUCUACCACUGUCAUCUCCCUGGGUUCAUGUGCACUCAUCCUUCUAAGUGCACAUCAAUGCUGCUUCCUCAGGGUAGGCUUUCCUGGUCUAUUUAAAUCGACUCUGACCUUAGUACACAACUCAUACUCCGUAUAACAUCCUUCAUAAGUCUUAUCCCAGUCACAAGAAUUUUUCAUUUAUGUACAUGAUAACUUUAUUAAUAUCUGUAUUCACCAGACUGUAAGCUCCAUGAGAACAAGGGCUGUGUCUUUCCAAAAAAUCAACUUUACUGAGGCAUAAUUUUUGUACAACAAACACACCCACUUCACACGCACAUUUCAAUGAGUGUUGACAAAUUUACACAAAAAUGGAUUCACUGUGUAACCACCAACACGGUCAAGAUGGGGAACAUUUCCAUCGCCUCAAAAAGCUCCUCUCUGCCUCAUCCCAGUCAACUCUCUGCUUUGCUUCCUGUCUCUAUAGAUUAGCCUUUUCUAGAGUUUCAUAUAAAUGGAACCAUGCAAUAAGCAUUGUUGUGUCUGGCUUCUUCCAUUCAACAUAACGUUUUUGAGAGUCAUCUUUGUUGUUGUAUCAGUGGUUCGUUGCUUUUUAUUGCUGAAUACUCUUCUCCAGUUGGUUCAUGGAAGUUACCUGUGUCUCUUCAGGUAAGCCAUUAGCUCCUUAAGGACAGAGGCCACAUUCUUUGACACCUCUGAUACUUGGUGUGAGCCUAGGCACAUAGGAGACCUGUGGGAGUACCAGAGUCCACCUUCCCUGACCCAGGGCAUGGGAGUGGCCACUCUGUACCCACAUUCAACAGUCACCCUGAUACUCACAGUCUUCCCCUCCAUGCCCACAGGCUGACCUUCUUGGCCCAGGGCUCCCAAGCACAUAUACCUCCUUCAGAACCAGUCUGAUGCCUCUCACAGCAAUGCAGAGAAGUCCUGGGCCAGCCACAGCAGUUAGGGGGCAAAGCUGGGAGAUCACAGGCAGAUCAGAUCCCUCUGACACUGGUCAUGUUGAUUUCCUUAACUGCCAAACAGAGACACUGCUGUCUACCUCACAGGGCCACUAAGUGGGCACAUGUGUGUGGAAGUGCCACUUGAAGUAGAAAACACAAUACUAUACAGUAAGAGUGAAUUUAAUCAUUUAAUGGAAUUAACAAGGGCCUGUGUUACCUGGGACCCCUUUUCCCUCUCAGGACCUUCAAUUUCUUUACCCAUUAGAUGAAAAGUUGAGCUAGAGUUCCCUAAGAUGCCUUCUGUCUUAAACCUUCUUGGAUUCUAAGGUGCUGGAAUAUGAGAGAAAGGGCCUGAUGAUCCAGAAUUAGAAAAAAAUUUGGGUGAUUUUUUAGAGAACAACUGACUUCUCUGAAAGUUCUCUUCCUGAGUAAAGGAUUCAGCUCUAGUUGUGAGAACAAACCAAUGUUUUUGCAUUAAUAGCCUUAAAUCUGCCACUCUUUCCAAGCCUGUCAUGGAAAGUACUAGAGCUCCUUUCUUCUCAUGUGCUGGCUGGUGCUAUGUGGCACGUCUUUUGCUGGACUAGAUCUUUGACGGGUCCCCAUUACUGGAAGAGCAGGAACAGCCUCCCCUUUUGAAAAAGCCGAUAGUUCAGUUCAAAUGACUCUUUGUGGGCCCUGUCACUCAACAAAGGAUUCCUGAGGGCCCAGGUGUGUUAGGGGCUUUAUAAGUGUUGUCUCUCUCUGCCUGUGCUGGAAGUCUUAGACCACAAUUUAAGAUGGAGAAAUGGCUCAGUGAGGUGUGUAAAUGAUCAAGUUGGAGCUAAAUCACCAGGUCCUCCUUCUUGCUCUAAUAGGCCCUGCACUAGGCCCAGGGGAUUCCAAAAUAGUUCAGUCACACUUGAAUUCUUAGAGGCCGGGAAGCGAAAGCAAUAGUUUAAUAUUUAUUGAAGAGAAACCCAAGGCUGUCAAGGUUGUCACUAACUCACCAUCUCGUUCAACUCCCUCAUUUUACUGAUGAGCCAACAGGGGUCCAGAGAAGUGGUCUGACUUGCCUGGAGUGACACAGCCAGCUGGCUGCCGGCAGGAGCUGUUACCCAGGCCUCCUGACUCCCAGAUUGGGGCUUUCACGGCCAGAGCAUGCCCUGGGGCAGAACAGGGACUGUGGCCAGAAACAAGGAAGUGUGGAAUUAGGAACAAGGCUAUAUUUCCAAAUCACUGUCUCCAGCAUGCCGGCUGGGAGCGAAGAAGAAGAAUGGCGUUCUGGGAACCAGUCAGCAGAAACCAUUUCAUAACUGCCCUUAAAAUAGUACAAUGCUGUGUCCUUUUCCUGUGACCUCUGGCAGACUGCAGGACAAAUCUCAGAACAACCAUUUUGUGAGACUGCAUUUCCUUGCUCCCACCCCCCACCACCCCCACACACCCUCGUGUCAAUGUAAAGACCCAAGGACCUCAGAGUAGCAAUUCCGAUUUUGUAAUCGGUACCAACUCCAUUUGCUAUUUGGUCCCAAACCCUCUUUGUUUUGAAAAAUCUUGGCUAACUAUUAGGUUGUGUUUAUUAAUCAGUCCCCAGUUAUUUCCCCCAUUCUGUCAUUCUCAAAGACAGAACCUCCAGAUCAGUGUGAGGUGAUCAGUGAAUCGGUGGACACUGGCAAGUGCCCUGACUGCCCACCAGCCGUCAGGGCUCAUGCCGGGUAAGCAUGCAUCCAUCUUGGCUCCUUGGAUCUUCCCACCAACCCUGGGAGGUCAGUACCCAUUUUCCCCACCUCAAGUGCAGUGAGCAGUGUUCAGGAAGGCCAUCGUGCCAGGACACGGCAGAGCCAGGAAAUCUGAGCCCUGAGCUGUGCUGGCAAGGCUCCCCCAUUAGCCUGGGCAUCUUACCACCAUCAGAAAGAGCACGCAGGCACUCUGAACCUAGCCCCUGACUGCCUCUAGGGGAAGCCCUUCUAGAGUCUGAGGUGUCUGAGGAGCUGUGGAGGGGCAAGGUAAGAUCCAGGAGGACCCCCAGCCAUCCCGGGAACACUGGACAGGGCCACACAGGGCUCCUCAGCAGUGGGCAUGGUGACUGCUCAGCCAACAGGACACAGGCUUUGCACAAGCGGGCACAUUCCCACAGAUGACCCAGGAGGCAAGACGAUAGGAUGGGGUUUGCAAGUCAGACCCAGACUGGCCCAUCUCAUAGCUGUGUGAACUCGAGCCUUGCUUUUCUCACCUGUAAAAUGGGGCCAAUACAAGCUACCUCAGUGUUACUUCAGAUGAUCUGGUGAGAGAGGUGUUGCCUGAUGCCUGGAAGAUAGUUAGGGCUUAAUAAUUGAGAGCUGCCCUUCUUGAUGCAGGGCGGGUGUUCCUCUGAGUCCCCCUUGGCCUCAAACUUGGAAUAUUUGAUUUCUGCUUCACCCAGAGUCUGCAGCACAGUAAGACUGUCGGCGGCUGUGGCCCAGGUCAUCUGCACUGGCCUCUAGAGCAGCCCUCUGUGAGCCACUGACGCCCGUUGCCAAUCGGGGUAGAAGCAUGCCUGCUCCAUGCCACAACCUGGGGCGGCCCCCAUGCCAGGACAAUGGUGUUGGAACACUGACCUAGAGAAGCUUAGGGAAGAUUUAAUGAAGUAAUAUAGGGAAAGGACAGUGCCGGGCUCAUAAUAUGUGCUCAGUCAAACUUAGCCGUAAUCAUAAGAAUUAUUAUCUCCUAGUGGCCAAGUAAUAUCUUAUUCUCUCAAAGGCCAUGUAGGGGUGCAAUCAUCACUUUCCCAUUUUACAGAUGGGGAAGUCAAGGGGAGUGGCAGGAACCUCCCCAACACACAAGGUGUAGAUCCUUUCACUUGCACCCCGUGGCCAUCCAGGUGGCUCUGGCUGGGCUCUGGGCACCCAGUGGGCAGUGGUGAGGUGGUGCCUUGUGCGGGAGCAGAACCGCUCAAGGCUCUUCGACCUCCCUCACCCUCCCGGCCAUUCCAGACUUUCCCCGGCCACUUCCAAGCACGCCAGGACUCAGGCGCAAAGCUGCAAGAGCUGGCCUCCAGGGGGCAGCAGGAGCCUGGGAAACUCUAGGCUGGCUGGACUAGGAAUCCGAGUGCCACAGAAGGCUAGCCAGGGUGCCCUGGGGGGAAUGCUGACCGGCUGAGGGCCAUGCUGCCUGUACCUGGAGCUGAACUCAGGGCUGGGAUGCAAGAGAGGGGGAGGACGGGAGAGCACUGAAUUCAGAUGCUCGGCCUCCUCCCGAAAUCCGCUCUCCCUGGCCAGCUUGUUUCUGGUCUGCUCAGUAAAUAGGGGCUGCACUGAUCCAGGUACCAUGGGGGAUUAAAUGUGCACAUUCCCAGCCCUCCAGAAAGUGAGGGAGGCCAGUGCAGCCUGGGGAGUGCAGGACCAGGGGGUUCAGGUGGGGGGUGUGAGGUGCAUCAUGACAGAGUCUGUCAGAGAGGGCAUCUUCUAAGCCACCAAAGACCAUGCAGAGACCAGGAUGUUCCUUAGAACUGCACCUGGACCCCUCUGGCCUCUGCCUAAGGAACUUGCUCACCACCUUGUGGUUCUAGGGUCCGUGAAGGGCCAGAUUCCUGGGACUUCCCCAAGCUUUGGAGUCAGAAGGUCUGUAGUUUUAGCCAGUUGUCCAGGGGACCUUUGCGCAGGCUCACAUCCGACAGCCUCUGCUCUGAGGCCACAGAAGGGAUGAAUACAGCUGUUUAUCGAUCUCUCCUUGCCAGGCCCUGAGCUAAGUGCUCUUUAGAUACCACUUUAUGUAUUCCCCCCCCCCCUUCACAAUAUUCCUUCGUCUGUUCUUUACAAAUAACGACCUGGACUAUGGCUCAGAGAGGUGAAGCGAUGUGUCCAAGGGCACACAGCACUUAGUGCCUGAAGCAGGAUCAGAACUCAGGGCAGUGUGGUUCUAGAGCAUGCCUGCUUUCACUCUCCAUGUAACCAACCAAGCAUGGGUUAGAGAAGCAGCAAAGGCUGUGCCUAGCCCAUGGCCAAGGGAAGGAGCCAGGAUAACCUUGGACUCACGAGAGGGGCCUAUCUUGGACUCUGCAGCUUGGGGCCUGGCACAUAGCAAACACUGAAAUGCUUAGACUUCUGUUUUUUAACAUUUGGAGAUAACAGGGAGAGCAAAGCUUUCUGUUCUCCCUUCCACCCCGGUCCCUGCCAGAGAUGGUUCUGUCCUCCUGGUCAGACCAGAGUCCAUGUGGCUCUGGUCUCAAACCCUGUGCAUCUUGGCAGGAAAGGGGGUGGGGGUGGGAAGAGAAGGGUCUGGGUCUAAGGUUCCCUGGCAAUCUGUUUUCCGACUCCUGAGCUCCUUGGAAGCUGGACUUCCAGAUCUAUCUCCUUCAGUGUCAUUAUCUGAAACAUAGAUCUCUGGCGUCUGGUCUCACUGGCAGUUUGCAAGUAUUCUGUGAGAUCAUGUGGGAGGAGAGAGGUCUGCAAACCCAGAUGCGCAGUUCAAAUGUCUACUAUUACUCAGGACAACUGCUCAGAAAUUGGGAUCAGUGUGGGGCCAUCAGAGGAUGACCAUCUCUCUACCCCACUAGUCAAAUAAGAUUCAAAUAGUCCACUGGAAUGGGCCUGUGGCGGCCUCUAGCUCUGUUAGCUUAGACGGCCUCUCUCAUCUGUGCCCCCUCACCCUCUCUAAUCUGUCUCUUUCUUCACCAUUCAAAUUAGUUAUUUGAAUGACCAGAAGCCCAAAGUUCCUUCCCGGGCCCAGUGGCCCCCAACUUGCCCAAGAACUCUCUUCCCUCGGGCUUCUGCAAACUGAGAAAUUCCAAGAUUCCCACCGUGCUCAGGUCGCUCCUUUGGCCACCUGACACUGCCUGCUCAACACAGGGGGCCCACAGGUCAUCAGCGAAGCACCCACUUCUCCCCAGCCUGCGGAGACAAGAAAGAAAGAGGCCACAUGUGCAUCCUUAGGCUUCCUAGACAGGUGCAUCUCUUCUGUGCUUUGGCCAAAGGUGGACUUAGAAUGUUGAUGGAACAGUCACAGGGAAAAGAAACACACAGAGAUAGUAAUAAUGCUGACGGUUCCUGAGCAGAGAAAUGACCUUCAGAUGCUACUCACCUGUGGUGGCACCAGAUCCCUUUCACCUUUGGAAUCUCUCUGGUCUUCCUGUUCCAGAACAUCUUCAGCUCAUGGCUCAACCUGCAGGGGCAACUAUGACAUGGUGACAGCUCACUGGCUCCUUAGAGAUGGGCUCAUGUCUCAGAAUCCCCCAAUUUGGGCAAGUGCUUUCCUCUCUCGGUGCUUCCAUUUGCACAUCUGUAGGAUGGGCUCUCCCUACCCCUGCUCCCCUGAUCUCAGAUUAGUGGGAGGGUCUGAUGAGAUGGCCUGUAGAUGUGAAUAGCACACGUGGGCCCCACCCUCUUGCCGAAUCUCCAGGCUUUCUAGAAUGUUGUUAAUUGGUAGUGAAUAAAUCUCUGACUCCUCAAAUAAAGAUAAAAAGACUACUUUCAUUUGACUUGACCCUGCAAUUCUGGGACUCUAACCAGUAGAAAUGAAAACGAAGGAUGCAAGGAUAUGGAUGAUUAUCACCACGCUGGUUGUAUUUGUUACGAGGGGACUAGAAGAACCCUACAAAACUAAUAUGCAUCACUAAUGGAGAGGCUGAAUAAACUAUGGUAUGACGACCACUCUGUUGGAUUAAGCAGCUAUGACAAUAAAGAAUGUUUUCUUUUUCUUUUGA